CAGCAGCCGCGGUAAAACGAAGGGGGCUAGCGUUGUUCGGAUUUACUGGGCGUAAAGCGCACGUAGGCGGAUCGAUCAGUCAGGGGUGAAAUCCCAGAGCUCAACUCUGGAACUGCCUUUGAUACUGUCGAUCUGGAGUAUGGAAGAGGUGAGUGGAAUUCCGAGUGUAGAGGUGAAAUUCGUAGAUAUUCGGAGGAACACCAGUGGCGAAGGCGGCUCACUGGUCCAUUACUGACGCUGAGGUGCGAAAGCGUGGGGAGCAAACAGGAUUAGAUACCCCAGUAGUCCCUGUCUCUUAUAC
rnacentral:rRNA from 1 species